rnacentral:tRNA from 1 species
GCCGAGUUUGUAUACUGGUUAGUACAUUGCUUUGUGGCCGCAAUAACCCAGGUUCGAAUCCUGGUCAUGGCA